rnacentral:lncRNA from 10 species
GACGCGGCCACCAAGCCACCACGCAGGGGAAGGGCGGCGGAACCCACAGCUCGAGCUCAGGUGAUUCUGACGCAGGCGCUCCACGGAAACCCUCCGAGAAUUCUGGGGGCCGUGGGGCCGCCCAGCUCAGUCCGGAGCUCCGGAACUCGGGGAAGAGCGUCCGGGAGCCGGGUCUGGGUUCCGCACUCCGUCCGCCCCGAUGGCAGAGAGUGAGAUACGGACGCCCCGGGACGAGGGGCUCAGGACCCGGCUACGGACACCUGCCUCCAUCUCCCUCCAGGUAUUUCACCCCAAUAAUAAAAUAAUAAUGCCAGAAGCUGAAGAGUAAUCAGGACCUCAGGAUUACUCAUAGAUAACACAAGUGUGAAGAGAGGGGAGAGCAGCAAAGGCUGAGCUGCGUGUGCCUGGUCCCUUCCAGACUUUCCAGAUAACUUUGCCCCACGGAGGACAAGGAAAGCCAAAAGAGAGAAGCCAGGAUUGUUAGUCUUGGAAAAUGCCUCCAUAUAGAAACAUGAGCCGGAGAAUAAAUCACUUGCCUCUCUAACCAGUUGGAUUUGGUCCGUGAGUUCCUAGUUUUGUUCACCUGACUUAGUCCCUGACUUUUAAAGUCAAGUGCAUCAACAUGCUGCCAGUACUUUGAUGAACAUCUAUACAGGAUCCAUCUCUACAGCAGUGAAUUCCACCUGGGGUAAAGUAUGCAUGUAGGUUAGGAUGCUACAGUGGGACUCUGUCUGCUUUUUCUGUCUGUUUCUGCUAAGGCCUCCACACAUUAGAUGGUCAGUACUCUUUGUUCUAUGGGAAGGGCUAGAAUACCUAAACAGGACUUUCACGGAGGGAGCAACAAACCAGUUUUGUGGCUCUCAGCAAACAUCCAUCUCAAAGGUGAGUUUGGAAAUAAUGGAGAGUAUGUCAGUGUGUUUGUGUCUCAGGCCUACUUCCCACGCCUAUGGGGGAAGGGUGGGACUUAUCUCUCUCUUCCCUCAAGCCUGCUAAGAGGAGAUUAGACUAUAUUUGAGAUAAAUACCUCCAGCACAGUGACAGCCAUGCAGCUCAUGCCUGUGAAAUCAAAAGGCAAGAGGAUGCGGCUGGCUGGCUGCUCUGAGGGCAGAGAGAAAAGACCAGACAGCUCUUGGAACAGACUGUUCUUCCAGUGACGAUGGGGACAAAGAUGCAUGAGUGUAUCUCCAGGACUGGAUGUGAGCUGCAUGGGAGAAAAAGAGUGCAGGCCUGCAGCCCGGGAAAACCCAAAAGGAUGCCAUAAACCCAACAGGAAGAUGGGUUGUCAGGGCCCCAGGAGCUGAGAAAGGAAUAAAAAUGACAGAGAGAGAAAAGUACAUUGUCCACAUCAUAAAUAACACAGCUGAAUGUGCCCAAUGAGGUCCUCAGAGAACCCACAGAAGUGCCCAUGGGAACAGUUCUCUCUGGGACUCAAACCCAGGGAGAGGUGCUUUUAAACAUGCAAAGAGAGGGAACCAUCAUCAUAUUACAUUGCAGUGUCCACAUGAAUAAGACCCUAACUUACCUCAUAUUUCUCCUCCUUCCUCUGCUUUAAUCCAGGAGGAGCCAGAGACCUCUCAGUAAGUGAAGAAGAGGGGAAAUAGGUAAAAAGCCACUAUUCCCCAUGUUAGAUGAGGAAAUAGGAACAUUCUCCUCCUCUACCCAACACCCACUGUAGCUUUUAGUGGCUGGAGUCAGGAGAGAAAAGUUUUCAUGUUAAAUGAAUUUCAGAGGUUUGACUAUGACAUAGAAAUGGAUAUUUUAAUUACUGAAAUAAAACUGUUUUGUAAUUAGAGGUGACUGGAAGACAUUUUAUCCUCAGCAGAAGAAUAGAUAAGGAUAGGACCUUCCCUCCCCCUUGGACCCCACCAAGGUUUUAUCCAGAGGCAGAGGAAGAAGUAACCCUUUAUGUGAGUUUGAAUGGGCAGAAGAAGAAAAGGAUGAAGUUGUCUUCUAAUUGCACUCUAUGAAUGUUGCUUUUUUGUUAACAUAAAUGUCACAUAUAUUUUUAGCUGGUGUAACAAAAAAAAAAACAUCUCAAGCCGGCUUGCAUAAUAACAGCUUUGGGCACAGUCUGAUCAAGGCCCCGGUUCUGUUUGCUAGUGAUCCUCCUGAUUCUGCCCUCUCUCCAUGCUAGUUUCUUCCUCAGAUUGACAUUCCUCUUGGUCACCAGAUGCCUACAAUCAGCGGGUGCAACUCUCUGCUCCCUGCUCACUUCUGAAGGGGAGAGCAUGGAUACCAACCACAGAACAAAGCCCUGCAGUCUCCCGCUGAGUAGAACACCCACGAAGAAGUGUUGGCCAUUUCCCUAUUGCCAGGGAAAUAUCAUGUAUUGGUUGGAUUAGGCCUGUAUUAAUCCAGUUAAUGGAACAUAGUUAAACUAUCCCAGACCCUCCAUAGACACUAGAGAAAAGGUGAAUCCAACCCAAAUGUAAGACUGCUACUCAAUAGGACAGAAAAGGCAUGGAUGUCAGUGAAAUGGGAAAAAAAAUGUGUGCCAAAGGAGAUCAGGAAGGACUGAAUAGAAGACAUGGCCUUUGAAUUGAAGCCUUUAAUGAGGAAAGGGGAUUGACAUUGUAUGAGGGCCAGGGUGGAGAGCGGGUUGUGAAGAGGAUAGGGAAAAUGCAAGGACACUGCGGAUAUAAGAAUUAAUGGGAGAAUCAUGGGCCACAAAGCAGCAGGAUUAUAUUACAGAGAUUGUAAGUAGUGUUUAUUGAAGCACAGGGUACUGGGGAGGUGGAGGAAAGAUGAAACUGUUAAGGAAUUUAGACACAGCAUGUAGUGGUUGGCAGGAAACAGAUGACACUCUCAAACAGGGUAGUUGAGGAGAGCUAAUAAAGGGACCAUUUACCAAGGUGUAGUUAGGAUUAAGAGAAAGCAAACUGGGAUGGUGCUGUGCUAUGGGCUAGCAACAGCAGGAAGUCAUUUCUGUCCCUAGGUCUGAAGAGGGAAGCAGGGGAGCCAACACCAAGGAACCAGAGAUCUUAGAGUCUGAAAGUCUGCAUGAUAGAAGCCAUGGCCUUUAGUAGAGGGAUCUUGCCUACUCUUAGCAGCCUGGCUUGGAGGGGCCUGGGGAAAUAAUACCCCAACCUCUCUCCUCUUCUUCAAUAUUGAUGACUUCCAUUGGUUAAUAUCAAACUGGAAGUUGGAGAGAAAGGGAGUCUAUCUAUACAAGUCAGCACCCUGUAGCCCAGAAGAGAGUAAAAAGGGGGUAAAAAGCAAUUUCCGAGGGACAAACAGAAAACACCCAGCACAGAAGGAGGAACAAACAUUUGGAGGAACAAACAGAAAAUAUCAGAAAACAUUUUAAUCCUGGGUCCUGGGACGUCAUGGAAGGUUUUGAAGUUAGGAGCACCGCCAUCCUCUAGGGGGAGCUCAAGCAUUUCUCUCCACUCAUCCCAAAGGCGGUGCAUCAAAAGAUCAGGGUGAAACUGACUUCAAGGAAAGAGCCCUCGGCUAGAGGAAGAAGCCUGGAGAAGUAAAGGGAUUGCUCCUGGAAUUGGAAAUCUACCCUUUGCACUUCUAUUUACUGCAUUUGGAUUGAUUUGCAAGAAUAACCAUUAAAAUAAUCAAAGCUAAAAGUACAACGGAGUAAGUGUACUCACACCACCCUGUUCCUCCCACUGAAUGCGGCUAAAAAACCUGGGCAGAAUAAGUGGAGCAUCUGAGGACUCUGAAAAGUAAAUAAUAGCAGGCAGAUUGGAGAUGAAGACCAAAAUGCAAACCUUUCAUUGGAGAACAGUCUUCCCCCACACCAUCCCAUAGAAAUACUGUUCACUAUAUCUGGUUCAGGAGGACUGACUCUCCCAACUCCUUUCUCCAGGAGUGGAUACAUGAUCCAGGACUGGCCAGAAUUCUACAUCAAGCAGCCCGUAGGCACGGAGGAGAAUACAAAUUAGAGGAUCAGCCAGCAAACUUGAUGGGUGAUGAGAACUGUUCAAGACAACCCUGAAGAUGUUGCUUAUUUGAUAAGGUUGCUGGUGCUGCUGCUACUGAAGAUAGAACAACAGUUAAGCUUUCUGUGUAUGUGUGUGUUUUCCAUCUGUUUUUCUUUGUAAUCAGUCGGUAUAAAAGUGAGCAGUGAAGAAUCGGGGGGAAAUAAAUGUACUUUUUAAACAUGUUAAAUUUGGAAAAUAUCUAGAGCUCAGAAGAAAAGUGUAAACUUAAGUUAGAGAUUUGAGAGUUAGUGAAGCUCUAAGAGGGGCAGAGUGUAAAGGUGAGGGCAACAAGUAUAUGUGCACACACAAUCACACACAUACACCGGUGGCAGGCAAAGAAAGAUUAAAUCCCUUCUUAGCAAAACUUCAAUUCUGAGAAGAUUUUUCCUAUCUGAAUUUGUUGAACAAUAUUAGAGAUUUUUUUUUUCUAACCACUUCAUAAAUAAUAAAACUGAGCAACAGAGAGGAUGGGUGGCUGACUUGUUAAGGAACUCCUAAUUAGUGCUAAAGAGUCUUAAAACCUAGGUUUCUGGGCUCCCAAUUCCAGGUUCCUUGGAAGUCAAGAGAAGACAAAAACAUACGAUCAUUUACUUUAUCCCUAACUUCACUUGAAUAAAACAUUCCAUAAGAUUAAGGUUAAUGCUUCCUUUGUCUGACACAUCUAUUUAAGCCAUAUGUCUGGUUAGUUUCAGCACGUUACUAGGCCAGUUCAGCAAUGCUCGAAAGCAAUUCAAUUUUCAAAGAACAGUUCUCGAGAUACAUACAAUAAAGCUCAGAUUAACCAGGAAUCAUCGAACCAGAGUUGUUUUACUUUCUACUUAUAAAGAACAUAAGAAAGCACUCUUGAUCUAAGGCAUGACACUGAGCUGGCUCACACCUGCUCUGAUCUUUAUUACUUUCUGUAUGUAAAAUUCUCACAGUACAGUAACUGUGAGGAAAAUAAUAAUUUUGUGCACAAUACUUUAGGUAGGAAGGAAACUAUAUUAAUAAUAAUUCAAUUUAAGUAGAAAUAUAAGUAAACUUAAUUACAGGCUUUUGAAAAUCCAAGCCUAUUUAUUUUAUCCAGUUUUAAAAUUCAAUUCCUAUUUAUUAACUAUUUAAACCUACUCUGUGGAGCAUACUUAUACCCCUCGAAAUUAUCAGAAUUAAGAAAAAUUCAGUAAUUCCUGUGUCAAAAAUAUUCUGUAAAAGUAAACUGUUCAACAGAGAAAAAAAAAAACAAAAAUACUGCAUGAAGCACAUAUGGUAAACAAAAAAACUGAAGUGAUUAUCAUAAUCAUGAAUUUUAAGAAACUGAAAAUGAUUAUCAAGGUAAACAAUAUAUGAAAUAUAACAAAUCCAAACAAGAUCAUGUACCUACAAAACCAAUUUUUCUAAAUACCAUCCUAACUUUUAAUAGCAGAAAAUAACAUUGUUUACUGCCUAAAACAUUGUACAGAAGAGAGAGCUCUAAAAUACUAAUCACAAGCCAAUAAAUCUUACCUUCUACAACAAAUUGCCCACUUCUGAAAUUUGUUUUCAUUACUACUUUUCUAUGUGCACUAACUUAAAGAAUUGCAAUGGUACAGUAAAAGAUACUUUGCAACUAGAAACAAAAUUCUAGAUUGUUUUCCAAAGUUGGGUACUUGCAUAUUAAAUUUUCUCAAAAGGAGACCCACCUGUGUAAUGUUCUUAUCUAUCUGGAACAGGGGUUGGUAAACUUUUUCUGUGAAGUGCCAGACAGUAAAAUAUUUUAGGUUUUGUGAAUUAUACAGUCUGUCAUAAUUAUACAACUCUGCCCUUACAGUGAAAAAUCUGCCACAGGUAUUACUUAAAUGAAUGGGCAACGCUGCAUUCCAGUAACAACUUAUUUCCAAAAAUAGACAACAGGCUAGAUUUGGCCCAUAAGCUGUAGUUUGCUGAUCCUUCACCUAGAAAACCAAAUUUUCUCUCAAUUUCUCAUUUCCAGGAAUGUGUAUUUAUUUAUUCAGGAAAAAAAAAUCUACUAAUGGUAAAAACUGGUGUUAGAAUGAUAUACUUUAUAAAUAGAAAAAAACUACAGAAUGUUUUCUCUAGAGACCUGUAAGAGUGAAGAUCUGACUAAUAAAUGAAGGGAAAAAGGUCUCUUCAGAGAUGUUUGAGUCUAGCAUUUGACAAAGUCUAAAUGGAUUAUUUCUUCUAUUUUAGCUAAGCAAGGUCACCCAAUAAGGGUUAAAUAAUUUUGACACCCAUAGGUAGUUCUAAAACUAUUCCAUAUUAGGGCAGAAACACAGUGAUAAAAUGAAAUCUUUCAUUAAAUAUAUUAACAUAGUUCUAUAUUUUGGCUGAUGUUCUGUACCACCUAAGACAAUGCUCCACCAACAAGGUUGAAAGACAUUUAUGGUAACAGCAACAUAAUUACUGCAACUCUUGGUGUAUAAUGACAACUGUAUUAACGAGAUAUGAUUUACUCCCUGGAUAACUCCAAGAACAUAGGACACAGAAUAAAGAAGUAAACAUCUCAAACCUUGAUAAAGCAACAACUACAAACUUUCCUUUGCCACUCUCUUAAGUGCACCUUUACUUCCCUGAAGUAUCUGCUCCCCUAGCCACAUGGGCCCAGAAACUCAGAGGUUUCAUAUGUAACUGUGCAUCAGAAAAAAGAGCCUGGGAUGGAAAAAAAGAUGCCUGGGUGCAGAGGUGUGUGCAUAUAUGUGUCUGCCUGCCUGUCUUAAAAGUUUAUGAUUGCUUUGAUAUUUAAUAUAAAGCUUGGAACACAAUCAGACUGAGAAAUAUAAUAAGUAUAGUACACCUAAAGCCAUCUGAUAUCCCUCUAAAUGAAAAAAACAAUUAUUUAAAUAUUGGUAAAUAAAAACGAAUAGGAUACACAUUACCCAUGAGAUAAACUUGUCGAAAAAGUUUAAUAUGAAGCUAAUCAGUAGCAAUCAAUCAGACAAAUCUGGAAUGUAGAACCCUUCAUAAGACAAUUCACCUGGAUUUUUCAUAAGUCAAUGUCAUAAAAAAUAAAGGCAGGGAAUGAAUACAGGUUGGAGACUAGACUCAUAACACACAUACUGUCAAUAAUUAUUUCUUGGAUUAAAAAAGCUAUAAAGGAAAUUUUGGGGGCAACCAGAGAAAUCUGAAUACUAACUGUCUGUUAGAUAAUAUGGUAUCAAUGUUAAAUUUCUUGGAUAAUAAAGUAUGAUUAUAUACGGGAAUUCUUAGGUACAUGCUGAAGUAUUUAGGGAUAAAACACUGGUAUCUGCCAUUUUCAAACGGCUCAGAAAAAAGUUUUAUUAAUAUACAGAUAAAGUAGUGUCAUAAAAUAUUAAGUGGUAAAUCCAGGUGAAAGAUUUUCAUGUAUUAAUUUUUCAACUUGUCUGUAGGUUUGAAUUUUUCAAAUUUAAAAUUUUGAGGGAAGGGGGUUUAUCAGGAUAAAGUCUUAGUUUGGCUCCUUCUUGUGGGGUAUAAACAGAUACUUACUUUCCAUUUCAGCUUCCCUUAGUUUAUUACUCUUUCAGUACCAGACUAUUAUCAAUCCCUUAGUUUAUUCCUCUUUUAGUACCAGAUUAUAAUCACUGAGGCCUCAUUUGGUGAAUUCUAUCAAGGGUCAUCUUGGGAGUCACCUCCUUCAGGCAAUUUUUCUUGACUUUCCAGGGUAGGCUAAGGACCCUGUUAAGACAGUUUGUGUUUUACUACCAUGUAGAAAUUUCCAACUACUUUUUUUUGUCCUUUACUAGGCUGCAGGUUCUGGAGGUUCCAGCAUAGUUCUGACACAUGGUAGGCCUUCCAUAAAGGCUUGUGGAACAUUUACCAUCUAGGGCUAGGUGGUAAGGAGCACCAGAGAGAGAGGCAUAGUUUGAAAUCCACAGAUACAGGGAGGAAGAGGCAUUUUUAUUGUAUCAGGCCUAAGGCUAGGCAAUUUAUGGUUACCAUUUUAUUCAGGUAGGUAAUUUUUAAAAAGAAGAGUUCUAGCUGUCCCUCUAUGUAAAUUUAAUAUCUUAAUGUUAGCGAGUCACUUGGAACACUUUGCUUUACAUCAUGCGGCCUCUGCUUAUUAGUCGUAGAGAAGUUAUUUAAACUCUAAGGCAGUUUUCACACCUGUAAAACAGGGACAGUUCUUACUGUGCCUGUUUCACCACAUUUUAAAAAAUAUCAAAUGAAAAUAUACUUAAGUAAAUACGGAAAAAACAGGCAUUAAGUGGAAAGUCUGCACUGUUUUCUCCCUUAAUUCAUCCUCUCUGCAGCUUCUCAAGGUUCCUCUAGUCCUUCGCUGGCUGGAGACCAAAUGGAAAAGAUAGGUCUCUGUCUACUUCAAGGCUAACCUUAGGUAGCUCUGUAAAUUUUGGGGUUUACAUCUUUAAUGCCUCCAAUAUAUUGAGAAUGCGCCAUGAAUUCUCAGUAAGAUUUAUAGCUUAUAAGGCUUUUAGAAAGUUUGCUAUUUACUAAAAACCUGAAAGAAAAUGUUAUUUUAGUCAAUUAUUGAAAAUUACAACAUUUAUUGGUUCAACGAUUAAUCAAUAGUAUACUUUUCCUACUUCUACUGAAACUUAACAGAACAUUUCUUAUCUAUGAUGCAAUUUUUAACUAAAUUGUCUAUACAAAUGGAAAAAAAAAACACCCCAAACCAUAAAUACCACAGAAACUUUUUAAAUUUACACAGUGAUUUCCCCUGAAACCACUGCACAACCAAGCAAAAAAAAAAAAAAAAAAAAAAAAUCAAAGCAAGGCAAAGUUCAGGUUAAGAAGGCAAGCAACUGGCUAUACAUACUGAAAACUUGUCUUCAGGCUACUAACUUACUUUCCAAAUUGGACAAAAGUCAAAAUGCUAAAUUUAUUCUUAGCUUUGAAAAUGCAAUUUCCUGGUUCUGUUAGAUGAGUUUCAAAUCACAUGCUUUUAGGAAACAUGCAAUAUAAACAUGUUUAAAGGCAUAUACUCAAAAAUUUAUAGUAGUUUCACAAGUUCUAAGCUACAAUUUUAUUCCCCAUAUUAACUAUCAGAGUUAGCACAGAGACAAGCUCACAGAUUGCAUCUAAUCUUUGGUUGCAAUUGUUCCACCUGUUAUCUAGCCCUCUAAGAAAUAAAACAACAACGACAACACUUUGAGGUCUCAAUCCACUUUACGAAAAGAAAGCUUUAUGAAAAAGCCUGAACAAUGAAUUCAAACAUUAAGGAGAAAAUGAGAAACGUUAGGUGUGUGAAGUAGGAAAUGUUAAUUUCAUGCACUUAGGAACACACACUCACACCCCACAGUAGUAGAAGCAGUAGAAGAGGAAAACACUACAUGUGUAGGGGUAGAAAUAUUUGUUACAUCAUGAUGCUGGCUGGCGAUGGAGGGUUGCCGCCUUAGAGCCCCCUGAAUGGAACUUCCACUCUGGAAAGCAUUCACUACAUCCAUCUGCAAGGAAUCAGAGAUUGUGACAGCUUGCUCAGCAAGAGAGAGAGAGAACAAGAGAAAGGACCAUUCCAUCUAUCAACAUAUAAAAAGAAAAAGGCACUUUUUACACAGCAUAUAGGCAAGAAUAGCAUUUUGAGAUGAAGUGGGGGAUGGGGGAGCUAGGAAAAAAGGAGCUUAGGGGCAUAUAGACACAUUCUUUCAUAAUCAGUUAAAAGUCUCACUCAUUCCAGGCACCAGUAUUACUUUUCAAGAGAAUACAAUUUGUGGGUUGGGAAGGCUAGAGAGGAAGUUUAAGGAGCACACUCGAACCUCCUCCCCAGGUCAAAAAGCCCUGGCUCCCAUCAUCUCUCCUACCUCUCUACCAGGCCCAUACCUGUGUUUGGAUUCUGUUCAGACCUCUAAACCACAAGAUUUGGCCACGCCGCAACUCCCUUUCAGCGUGAUCAAUCUCUUCAACAUCCUCUGCUAAUUCCUCCUCAGGUAUUUCUUCCUUUUGUGUUCCAUGACCAGCUUCUUUGAGGAAUUUUAAACGGCUAGUUGGAAUUGUUGAAAUAAGCUACAACACAGGGGAAUGAACUUAGAAAUAAAUCAUAUCAAGUAAAGGUAAGCUGAUCAACUGUAAUACUAAAGGUAUUAAAAGUGGUGAGAGUAUCCGACUAUCUUUACCAAUGAAGUAAUGGGAUCCUGUUGAUUAGUCUUUCUCUCCCAGAGCAAAAUACAUUCUUCUCUUAGCUACACAAAAGAUUUGAGUUUGAAGGAUAAAAAGUUUUCCUAAAUGGAAAUUAACCUGAUUACAUUUUUCAUAUUUUCAUCAGGACAUUCAAGACAGUACAUUGUAAAACCAUGCUCUGAUAUAUGUAUUUACUUAAAAAGUCCUAUUUAUUUUGAAUACAAUGAAAAUGGCAGGUGGUCUUACUAGAUGCAAAACACGUUUACAUUUCAUUAAUGCUGUCAGAGUUCAAUGAGAAAAAAUGUAUAAAAUUUUUAAAAAAAUCAUUAAGGUUACACUGAAAAUAGUUUUGUUACAUAUUUUUUUUAAAAUGCAACAGUUUAAAAUUGGAUUAGUACUGAUUGAUGACGCCAAACAAAAACAGAUGCCCUAGAAAACACAAAGGAUACAAGAAACACCAAUACACGUAUAUUAGCUUAUGUGUUAACAUCCAUUCUCUAAGGCAGCAGUUGGGUUUAUCAGGGAGAAACAAGCAUGUAGUCAGCUACAGAAUUCUGCUUGGAGAACUUCUAGUACACCCACCUCAUUUCACCAAGGUGAAAUAGGCUUCAAGGCACAUAAAGUGACUUGCUCAUGGAGUGACUAGGAACCUAGGUCUCCUGACCACCAAAGGCAGUGCUUGUUCUACCAUGGUACACUUAGUAUGGGUCUUACUUAAAAGAUGAUCUCUAUUAAUGAGGUACUCAAAAUAGAUAAGAAACCUCAGAAUCUAGAAACAUAGUUAAGAAAAAGAAGAGACACAAAGAUGUAAAGAUUGGGCUACAUUUAAGGAAAACCUGAAAGUCUGGUUUCACUGAUUUGCAGAAUGACAAUAAAUUAGCUCAUGCAAAUUAUAUGCCAUAAUAUAUAUUAACCUUCAUCUAUGAAAAUGUUAGAUUUUCUAUAAAUUAGUUUUAUAGUAAUGGGCUUAAAAUGAACAAUGCAUAAAUCACUGUCACAUUUAAAAAAUAAUGACAUGCAUUUGCAAGUAAGCUGCCUAUAGUAAAUAUGAGGUAUAUCUCUUAUUUCAGGCACUUUAUUUCAUAUAUACACUGUUAAAGCUAUUCAAUUCAAAUCUAAAACAUCAUUUUGUGACCCCUUUUUCCAGGUAACAUUAUUUUUAUAAAAACAUUCUCUAAGGUCAGUUUUUCCUAUGCUGCAUAUUGGAUUAAAUUACAGAACAAAAUGACAAUGUAUUUUUUUUUUUUUUUUUGAGAUGAAGUCUCGCUCUUCUCUCCCUGGCUAGAGUGCAAUGGCGCGAUCUUGGCUCACUGCAACCUCUGCCUCCUGGGUUCAAGCGAUUCUCCUGCCUCAGCCUCCCAAGUAGCUGGGAUUACAGGCGCCUGCCACCAUGCCCAGCUAAUUUUUAUACUUUUAGUAGAGACGGGGUUUCACCAUGUUGGCCAGGCUGGUCUCUAACUCCUUACCUCAGGUGAUCCACCCGCCUCGGCCUCCCAAAGUGCUGGGAUUACAGGCGUGAGCCACCGCACCCGGCCAUGUAUUUUUUACAUUGUUGUAAAAAAUUUUUUUCUGAAAAUGUAAAAAUAGGUUAUAGAGUAAAAGAUACAGAUAUUAGCAUCCUAACCAGUUAUAAAUACAUCAUUUUUAAAAACCGCUACAAAACUUCUAAAAAACAAGUUAAAAAAACACAUAAAAAGUUAGGAUAGUAUUUUAUAGUACAGGCAUAAUCAUAAUGAACAAGUGACAUACUGGAACUAAUACGACAUUAAAAAAACUUAUCUUUGAAUGCCCUCUCUUUACUCACCACAUUAACCAUUUAGAAUCAAGUAAUGAAACUGUUAAAGAAAAUACACACUAGAAAUUAAAAAAAAAAAUCACUUUAGGUUUAAACAAAAACUGAUGAAAUUUUUACCUGGCCCCAGAGUAAUGUUCCCAUUCCUAGGAAUAUUGACCAUAGCCACUGUUCUAUUGAAAGUUCUGAACAACUGAAAGGUUUUCCACCAAACUGCACAAUUAUUAUCUGGAGGAAUAAUCAAGAGUAAAUUUACUUAAAUCUUAAAUUUUAAAAUUCAUAUACUUAAAAAAAUAUCAAAUUUAUGUCCUCUAAAACAAGGUGAACAACCACUAUUCUGAUGAAUUGUAUUAUAUUAGUCACAACUGAAAAUAAGACAACUGAAAUAGACCUUUCCUCUUUCCCCUCCAGUCCACUUUGCCUCUUAGAAAAAAAGACAACUGAAAUAAAGUAAAAUCUCUGCCCAAUAUUUUUGAUGCAUGCGUAUUUCAUGUUUAAAUUACGCUUACUAAAAAGUAAAAUUCUUAUGACCAAGAAUAAUAAUUUUAUACUGUUUCCAAUAUAACCCCAAGCAACUACAUUCCCCUGUAUUUAGUACAACUCUUCAAAUAAUCUGUGCCUUUCUCAAAAUAUAGUACUCUUUUGUAGAAAAGACUGUAUGUUACUGGAAAAAUGCACAAUAUUAAAAAAAUUCCACAUAGCUGUUUAUUUCUAGUUAACAUUUAGACAUACUAAGAUAAACACAGACUAUAUGAGAAGAAAGGCAACUUGGAAAGUUCUAUGAAAUAUGGGCUAACUCAGGUGAGGUGAUCUCAGAUUUGCUCUCCUUUAUGAAAAGAGUGAGGUCUGAUGAUGAAUAUAAAUUCAUAAUACAGUGCUUAUGUUUUGCUUGUUAUUCUAAAAGGCCUAAAAUAGUGUGCAUGGAAAUAUUAAGAAUUAACUGGGGUUGGGUGUGGUGACUCAUACCUGUAAUUCUAGCACUUUUGGAGGCUGAGGUGAGAGGACUGCUUGAGCCCAGGAGUUCAAGACCAGCCUAGGCAACAUAGCAAGACCCUGUCUUAAUUAAAAAAUAAAUAAUUUUUUAAAAAAAGAAUCAAUUAACAAUAUUCACCCUCCUGUGAGUCUGACAGGCCUCUCUUUGAUAUGGCAGUUAACUAGUUCCCAAAUAUUAAAAUCAAAAAUAAUUUUGGUAGUUAACAUUUUAAAACCUUAAAGUUACAAUUCCUUUCUUUUUAGCUCUACUUUAUUCAAAUUCAAGUCAUUUUCACUUCUCGGUUCCACUAUUUUUUAAGUUAAUUUGUGCACUUGUACAGAUAGAUUUCCAACUGCUUUGUUAGUAGCCCAAUUAGAUUACAACUGAUUUGACAAUCAGGUCUGGAUUUUAGUAGAGAUAUAAAACUGAAGUAAUUUUCUUUUAUAAAUCAAGAAAAUAAUGAGCAUGAAGAAUUCAAUAUGUAUUUGUACAAGUGAUCUUAAUUUUUUUUAAAAUUUAAACCUGAUCUUUUUUUUGGUAUAAUGUGGGAUGUAAAAAGAAUACUAAAAUGCUGGGAAACAAUUAAUUGAUUGGCUGACUUUGUUUCCUAAGAAAUAAUAUCUUUCACUUUACAGUUGGAAGAAAUAAAACUGUUUGUCUAGUUGGUUGUGGCAUUUACUUCUAAGAACAGGAGAUUCAGUUCCCAUAUUCUUUAACAUAUACCUUAAAUCACCAUGAUAUUAUAUAUGUCACCAAGGCAACAGUUCCACACAUGUUCCACACAAGUGAUUGCUAGAACAAGCUGUUUACCUAAUGUCUCCCAUUUAACAGGCAAAUUUGAAACUAUCUUUUCCAAUUACCCACCUGUACCACAAAAGUGCCUAAAACAAUUGUGCAGAAGAUGGCAUUGUUAAAGAUUCCUUCGAAUACAUUUCUUUCACCAUGAAUUUUCCGGG